GAUAGCAAUCAUGCAGUUCUGGAUAAGACUAUAACCCCAGGACUCCACAGGCUGUUGUAUAAGAAAAUACUUAAUCCAGCUGUUAAAGCUUUUGCCUCAUUUUGGUACUGGAAUUUAAAGUUGGAACGCCAUCUACUGGCCAAAGAAGACAUCAUAUUAUUAUAUGGCUGGAAAGGGCCUUGAAAAAAAACCUCAAGGCUGAUAAAAAAAGAAAAGAAAGUCAGGAUUGAUAAGAAGAGAAAUAAAAUGAAAGACAAACAACAUCUGGAAGGUCAUAUUUUUGUUUUUUCUUUUCUAUCUACUUGUUUUCUGGCAGUUUAGGAGUAACUGGUGAGCCUUUUGAAAUUUCUCAAAGAAGUGUGGAUUAUAAAUAAUAGGCAUUAUCCUUCAAAUCGAUCACCUGAUUUUGUGAAUUAAUGAGAUUUGGUGGGCCAUUCUGGAUUACAAAUACUAUUUGAUAGAAUGUUUUAUGAGGCAAAAGAAGAAAAACUAAACAAGACCUACAAAUUUGAAUAAUUCAGAGGGAGAAAAACGGCAUAUUUUGAGGAUUACAAAUAUUAUAAAUUUUAUGGAACAGUUCAGGGAUUGAGCAAAUUCUUCUAAUAUUGUUUUUGGACACUUUGGACACUGGGACCUGGAUAGAUUGCUGAAUAACUUUUAGCUCACUAAAAUAAAGCAAAAUGUUACAACAAGGAAGAACAAAUACAUCCCAAAAAGAAAUACUAUUAAUGCUUCAAGAUAUCCAGGAAGUUAUGACAGGGAACCAUAGAGAUGAUGGAACUGAUGCAUGAUACAGCUGUGAGAUCAGGAAAUCUCCAGCAAAUGAUAAUGAAAAAGGAACAAAAAAUGCAGACAAUAGAGAAAAAUUCAUAAGGAGUAGAGGAAAGAAUAGAGGAGAUAAAUCAACAAAUUACACAGAUAGAUAAAGAUACAGAAGAGAUAGUAAAAAUUAUUGAAAUAGAGCAGGUAGUAUUUUUUCAAGAGGCCAAAAUGUAGAAGAGAGUAAAGAGAAAGAUCCCCUAGAAGAGAUGAAAGAGUCACUGAUGGGUAUUUUAGAGAGUAGAUAACAAGAGGCAGAUUUGGAGGCAGAGAAAAUAUUUAGACUAAAUAUGAGUGAUGUAGAGGGAUACAAGAUCCUAAGGGAGGAGCAUGGGAGAUUGAUCAAAAAGUCAAUAAGAGUUGAAAUAUUUAAAAGGGUGAGAGAUGAUGGAUAGAUGCAGAAUACCUCUUAAUAUGAGAUUUGUUUUACUGAAGAUUAGAAAAUAAACAUAGAACUUAGAAAUUGGAAAAAUGUUA